GAGAGAUUAGAGAAAAAACUUUUCCGAACUUCGGAUUCCGCCUUCAGUUGCAGACUUCAGAGUCACCGUGAUCAUGCAAGCCUUUCACAUCACGUGAGGAUCAAGGGCUCAAUUGGUUGUCGUGAGAACAAAAAUGGUGACAAGCGUAUCAAGAAAAUACUGAUCUGGUCUUUAGAAAAAAAAAAAGCUGAAGGUCUCUCCCUUCCCCCUACCGCCCGCCCCCCCCCCCCACACGCCCUGCAGUGGGCGAAGCUACAAGUUAUGAAUGUGAAACAUUUCUCAGCCAUCUAGGAUCUCGGAAGUAAAUGUAAUGGCCACAAGAGCAAAGCAGAUGUUUUAAAGAAACACCUUAUAAACCUAUCCUCAACUGAUCUCCAAUUUGUCUGCUUUCUCAAAGGGGUCAGGGGGCGGACGACUGGGGGAGGGGGCAGGGUACCUCGGAGUUCCUGCGAUUUUUGUGACCCCCCCACCCGACUUCAUGUAUUAAACAAAGAAAAACAUUUUGCUAGCUCCCAAACCCAGCCUUGUAAUAAACACACCAUUGUUACUA